rnacentral:rRNA from 1 species
AGACCCGAAACCAGGUGAUCUACCCAUGUCCAGGGUGAAGUUCAGGUAACACUGAAUGGAGGCCCGAACCCACGCACGUUGAAAAGUGCGGGGAUGAGGUGUGGGUAGCGGAGAAAUUCCAAUCGAACCUGGAGAUAGCUGGUUCUCCCCGAAAUAGCUUUAGGGCUAGCCUUAAGUGUAAGAGUCUUGGAGGUAGAGCACUGAUUGGACUAGGGGUCCUCAUCGGAUUACCGAAUUCAGUCAAACUCCGAAUGCCAAUGACUUAUCCUUAGGAGUCAGACUGCGAGUGAUAAGAUCCGUAGUCAAAAGGGAAACAGCCCAGACCGCCAGCUAAGGUCCCAAAGUGUGUAUUAAGUGGAAAAGGAUGUGGAGUUGCUUAGACAACUAGGAUGUUGGCUUAGAAGCAGCCACCAUUUAAAGAGUGCGUAAUAGCUCACUAGUCGAGUGACUCUGCGCCGAAAAUGUACCGGGGCUAAAUACACCACCGAAGCUGCGGAUUGAUACCAAUGGUAUCAGUGGUAGGGGAGCGUUCUAAGGACAGUGAAGUCAGACCGGAAGGACUGGUGGAGUGCUUAGAAGUGAGAAUGCCGGUAUGAGUAGCGAAAGACGGGUGAGAAUCCCGUCCACCGAAUGCCUAAGGUUUCCUGAGGAAGGCUCGUCCGCUCAGGGUUAGUCAGGACCUAAGCCGAGGCCGACAGGCGUAGGCGAUGGACAACAGGUUGAUAUUCCUGUACCACCUCUUUAUCGUUUGAGCAAUGGAGGGACGCAGAAGGAUAGAAGAAGCGUGCGAUUGGUUGUGCACGUCCAAGCAGUUAGGCUGAUAAGUAGGCAAAUCCGCUUAUCGUGAAGGCUGAGCUGUGAUGGGGAAGCUCCUUAUGGAGCGAAGUCUUUGAUUCCCCGCUGCCAAGAAAAGCUUCUAGCGAGAUAAAAGGUGCCUGUACCGCAAACCGACACAGGUAGGCGAGGAGAGAAUCCUAAGGUGUGCGAGAGAACUCUGGUUAAGGAACUCGGCAAAAUGACCCCGUAACUUCGGGAGAAGGGGUGCUUUCUUAACGGAAAGCCGCAGUGAAUAGGCCCAAGCGACUGUUUAGCAAAAACACAGCUCUCUGCGAAGCCGUAAGGCGAAGUAUAGGGGGUGACACCUGCCCGGUGCUGGAAGGUUAAGGAGAGGGGUUAGCGUAAGCGAAGCUCUGAACUGAAGCCCCAGUAAACGGCGGCCGUAACUAUAACGGUCCUAAGGUAGCGAAAUUCCUUGUCGGGUAAGUUCCGACCCGCACGAAAGGUGUAACGAUUUGGGCACUGUCUCAACCAGAGACUCGGUGAAAUUAUAGUACCUGUGAAGAUGCAGGUUACCCGCGACAGGACGGAAAGACCCCGUGGAGCUUUACUGUAGCCUGAUAUUGAAUUUUGGUACAGUUUGUACAGGAUAGGCGGGAGCCUUUGAAACCGGAGCGCUAGCUUCGGUGGAGGCGCUGGUGGGAUACCGCCCUGACUGUAUUGAAAUUCUAACCUACGGGUCUUAUCGACCCGGGAGACAGUGUCAGGUGGGCAGUUUGACUGGGGCGGUCGCCUCCUAAAGUGUAACGGAGGCGCCCAAAGGUUCC